AUUAGAAGGAUUGAGGUCUGCAAGGAGCGCACUACCAGCAGCUUGCCCGGAAUUCUCCCGCCGUCGUCCCACCAUCCUCAACCUAACCACCACCUUCCAUCGACUGCGUCGAUCUCUUCGGCCACCUAACAUCGCCCUUAUCGAUCGGCCCUUAAUCCCCUCAUACCGGAUCUCAACCCCAUCAACCUGCCCGUCCAAGUCUCCCACACACGGAUUGCCCGGAGAAGAUGGCGUCCUAGAAACUAAAGAGCUGAAGGUGAGAAAAAGUUUUCAAGAAAGUAGCUAGAGAGAAUGGGUUGUGGUGAUGGGUGACAAGCACGGUGAUGAGCACUUUCAGGCUACAGAACUUGAUCCAAGAUCCACCUUUUAUCAUCAGAGGUAAUCACAGGUGUAGAGAUUGGCUUAUCAUUUCACUCGGG
rnacentral:lncRNA from 1 species